AUUGAACGCUGGCGGCAGGCCUAACACAUGCAAGUCGAACGAGUGGCGGACGGGUGGGUAAUGUCGGGGAAAGUGCCUGAUGGAGGGGGAUAACUGCUGGAAACGGUAGCUAAUACCGCAUACCAUCGGAUGUGCCCAGAUGGGAUUAGCUAGUGGGUGGGGUAAAGGCUCACCUAGGCGACGAUCCCUAGCUGGUCUGAGAGGCUGACCAGCCACACUGGGACUGAGACACGGCCCAGACUCCUACGGGAGGCAGCAGUGGGGAAUAUUGGACAAUGGGCGAAAGCCUGAGACAGCCAUGCCGCGUGUAUGAAGAAGGCUUUCGGGUUGUAAAGUACUUUCAGCGGGGAGGCGUUACCCGACGAAGAAGCCCCGGCUAACUCCGUGCCAGCAGCCGCGGUAAUUC
rnacentral:rRNA from 1 species